GAUGAACGCUGGCGGCGUGCCUAAUACAUGCAAGUCGAGCGAACAGAUGAGGAGCUUGCUCCUCUGACGUUAGCGGCGGACGGGUGAGUAACACGUGGAUAACCUACCUAUAAGACUGGGAUAACUUCGGGAAACCGGAGCUAAUACCGGAUAAUAUAUUGAACCGCAUGGUUCAAUAGUGAAAGACGGUUUUGCUGUCACUUAUAGAUGGAUCCGCGCCGCAUUAGCUAGUUGGUAAGGUAACGGCUUACCAAGGCAACGAUGCGUAGCCGACCUGAGAGGGUGAUCGGCCACACUGGAACUGAGACACGGUCCAGACUCCUACGGGAGGCAGCAGUAGGGAAUCUUCCUCAAUGGGCGAAAGCCUGACGGAGCAACGCCGCGUGAGUGAUGAAGGUCUUCGGAUCGUAAAACUCUGUUAUUAGGGAAGAACAAAUGUGUAAGUAACUAUGCACGUCUUGACGGUACCUAAUCAGAAAGCCACGGCUAACUACGUG
rnacentral:rRNA from 1 species